rnacentral:rRNA from 1 species
AGUGAACGCUGGCGGUAGGCCUAACACAUGCAAGUCGAACGGCAGCUCAGUAAGAGCUUGCUCUUACGGGUGGCGAGUGGCGGACGGGUGAGGAAUACAUCGGAAUCUACUUUUUCGUGGGGGAUAACGUAGGGAAACUUACGCUAAUACCGCAUACGACCUACGGGUGAAAGCAGGGGAUCUUCGGACCUUGCGCGAUUGAAUGAGCCGAUGUCGGAUUAGCUAGUUGGCGGGGUAAAGGCCCACCAAGGCGACGAUCCGUAGCUGGUCUGAGAGGAUGAUCAGCCACACUGGAACUGAGACACGGUCCAGACUCCUACGGGAGGCAGCAGUGGGGAAUAUUGGACAAUGGGCGCAAGCCUGAUCCAGCCAUACCGCGUGGGUGAAGAAGGCCUUCGGGUUGUAAAGCCCUUUUGUUGGGAAAGAAGAGCAGCAGGUUAAUACCCCGCUGUUCUGACGGUACCCAAAGAAUAAGCACCGGCUAACUUCGUG